rnacentral:pre_miRNA from 1 species
CAAGUACUCCCUCCAUCCGGAAUUACUUGUCAUCAAAAUGGAUGUGUCUAGAACUAAAAUACAUCUAGAUACAUCCAUUUCAAUGACAAGUAUUUUCGGACGGAGGGAGUAGAAG